AACACGGAGGAAAAGAAAAUAACAAUGAUUUCCCUAGUAACGGCGAGUGAAGAGGAAAGAGCUCAAAGUUGGAAACUGUUUGGCUUAGCUAAACCGUAUUGUAAACUGUAGAAACAUUUUCCUGGCACGCCGGAUUAAUAAGUCCUUUGGAACAAGGCAUCAUGGAGGGUGAGAAUCCCGUCUUUGAUCCGAGUAGUUGUCUUUUGUGAUAUGUUUUCAAAGAGUCAGGUUGUUUGGGAAUGCAGCCUAAAUUGGGUGGUAAAUCUCACCUAAAGCUAAAUAUUUGCGAGAGACCGAUAGCGAACAAGUACCGUGAGGGAAAGAUGAAAAGAACUUUGAAAAGAGAGUUAAACAGUAUGUGAAAUUGUUAAAAGGGAACCGUUUGGAGCCAGACUGGUUUGACUGUAAUCAACCUAGAAUUCGUUCUGGGUGCACUUGCAGUCUAUACCUGCCAACAACAGUUUGAUUUGGAGGAAAAAAUUAGUAGGAAUGUAGCCUCUCGAGGUGUUAUAGCCUACUAUCAUACUCUGGAUUGGACUGAGGAACGCAGCGAAUGCCUUUAGGCAAGAUUGCUGGGUGCUUUCGCUAAUAAAUGUUAGAAUUUCUGCUUCGGGUGGUGCUAAUGUUUAAAGGAGGAACACAUCUAGUAUAUUUUUUAUUCGCUUAGGUUGUUGGCUUAAUGACUCUAAAUGACCCGUCUUGAACACGGAAACACAGAAAAA
rnacentral:rRNA from 1 species